rnacentral:lncRNA from 1 species
UUUGCUGGCUUUAGUAAAGCUAGUUGCCAUGUUGGGGAUGCCCAUGUGACAAGAAACUGAGGGUGGCUUCUGGCUACCAGCCAGCUUGAACUGAGUCUCACAGUCUAAUAUCCCAAAGGAAAUUAAUCCUGCCAACAACAUAAAAAGAAAAAGAAUGGAUUUUCCAGUCUCUUUGACCCCUGAGAUCUCAAAGCCCCUGUGAAGAUCGAUCAGUUGGCAUGGCUGGAUUCAGACUUCCCAGGCCAAGAGGACUUGAAGAAAUGAUCAGAUGAAUCUCAGAAACUCAGAGUUUGAAUAAUAGUUGUCGGUUAUUGCACACUUGCUGUGUGCCAGGCAUGGUGCUCACUGCUGCCCAUGGAUCAUUUCACCUAAUUUCAUCUACCAGCCUGAUAUCUGCACAUGUGAGAACCUGAGACGUAGGGAGUUUGCACGGCUUUAGCUUUCGCAGAAGGAGUAACACAGGGUCAUACCAACUUACUCCAGUUACCAAUUCUGUGACCUCAGGGCUGUUUGUUGUCCAAAAAGCCUUUUUCCCUAAGCUUGAAAGCUUAACUUCUCAGAAGCAGGAAGCUGCCUUUUGCCAAGAGUAAAUGGGUGAGAAGUCCAAAGGUCUUGGUUUUGAAGUAUGUGCAACGAAUGUUCAAACAGGUUCUGAACAGAGCCAAAUCUACUUUUCUAUCUCCAAGAAAUCUCGAGAGAGCCAUGGGGCGGAAGUUUCAAGGAACAACGUCUCGUCCCAAACCGCAUGAAAUUGCAUUCCAAUCAGAAGCAUGGCCAAACCCACCAGAACGCAAAACGCAGGGAUGGAAGGACACUGACGACGAUGACCUUGUGAAAUGAGAGAAUUGUCUUGAAAGGGAGCGUUGUUACGGAAGAUGCUGAUUUCGGCAUUCCCUGUCUGAAGUGCUAACUAACCUCAUUGGGUUUUUGCUCUGCACCAGGUACUGAUAUCUAUACUUUUCCUGUGUAUUCACUUACUUGAUACCUGAUGGAGGAGGUAUUUUUCAGAGGAGAAAACUGAGUCAUGGACAAAGUCAGUGACGUGCCCGAGAUCGUUCAUCUAAGAUGUUGCAGAGCUGGGACUUGAACCUAGUUUGUCUGCCUCUGGGAUCUGAGCUGGUAAACAUCACAUGGCACUUUGUGGCUCGUUUGUGACUGGUCCGUCCAUUGGUGGAAAAUGGUUAGAAGUCCUACUCUGUGCCCCUCUGUGUGCCAGUACUUGGAGAUACUUCCUCCAGAUACUUCCCCAUGAAACUUAAUCUGGUGGUGGAAGACAAACAUAAAACAAAUAAUUGAUUUGAGCUCUGAGAAGUGCCACAAAGGCAACGCACAGGUAUAAUGAUGGGGGAGGGAGGGGUGGCACUUGGUCUGGGAAGUAGGGGAAAACUGUCUCUGUAAGGGACAUUUUAUCUCAGACCGGAAGACUGUUGUUAUGGGUUCAAUUCCAUCCUCUUCUCCCCAGCAUUCAUUUGUCAAAGUCCUAGCCCCUAGACCUCAGAAUGUGACCUUAUUUGGAAAUAGUGUUGUUGCUGAUGUAAUUAGUUAAGAUGAGGUUAGAGUAGAGUAGGAUGGGCCCCUGCUAUAAUAUGACUGGUAUCUUUAUAAAAAGGGGAAAUUUAGAGACAGACACACACACACAGGGAGAAGGACAUGAGAACAGGAGGCAGAGAUGAGGCUGGUAUUUCCACAAGCCAAGGAGUGCCAAAAACUGCCAGCAAAUCACCUUCAAAAGGAGCAUGACAUCUUGAUCUUGGACUUUCACAUUCCAGAACUGUGUUUUUAUCCACUCCCAUUGUGGUACCUUGUCAUGGCAGCCCUAGCAAACGAAUGCAGAGGGGAAGGUGCCAGUCAGGUGAGGAGGGAGUGGAGAGUAGGAGAGAGGGAAAAAGAAACAAAACCCAGGAAGAAGAGCUAGCAUGUGCAAAAUCCCCAACGGAGGAAGGAGCGUGACACAUUUGGGAAGGUGGAACCAGGGAGAGGGGAGGGUGGAAGAUGAAGCAGGUGGAACCAGAUUCUGGCGUCUCUAAUACACAACGUGGCAUUUCUAUGAAGGACGAUGUGAAACCAGUGAAGGGUUUUAACCAAGGGGCAACCAUAAUUGGAUCUGAAUUUUAAUAUCAUUGUUCUGUUGCUGUGUGGAAACUGAAUUUUGGGGGUGGUAGGAAAGAAUAAAUGUAGAACAGUUUAGAACCUAUUGUGUUUGUGCCCAGGAGUUUCAGCCGAAUUCUUCAGAUUGGUUAUUCUUCCAAACAGGCCAUUUUCCUCAAGCCAUUUCCCUACUCAGUACUCAGACACAUUCAUUGUUUACAGUGUACCAGGCUCUGAAACUGUGCUAUCCAAUAUGGUAGCCACUGGCCACGUGUGGCUCAUUUAAAUUAAAAUUAAAGACCAGUUGCUCUGUCUCACUGAGACGUGCCUAUGUGCUCCCUAGCCACAUCAUUCACUGAAAGUUCUGUUAGACAGCUCUGGUCUAGGGAAACACAGAGGAACAGGGCAUCAUCCCGUCCUUGUUUUUAGAGCAGUGAAAGAACUCGAGACAACUGGAUUUCGUAGACCAGCAAGAACUUUUUUUGUUUUUAAGUAUACUUUAAG